GGAUGCGAUCAUACUAGCACUAAAGCACCGGAUCCCAUCAGAACUCUGAAGUUAUGCGUGCUUGAGCGAGAGUAGUACUAGGAUGGGUGACUUCCUGGGAAGUCCUCGUGUUGCAUUCC
rnacentral:rRNA from 1 species